AUACGUAGGUGACAAGCGUUAUCCGGAUUUACUGGGCGUAAAGGGCGUGUAGGCGGUCUUGCAAGUCAGAAGUGAAAUUCCUGAGCUCAACUCGGGCGCUGCUUCUGAAACUGCAGGACUUGAGUGCUGGAGGGGAUAGCGGAAUUCCUAGUGGAGCGGUAAAAUGCGCAGAUAUUAGGAAGAACACCGGUGGCGAAGGCGGCUAUCUGGACAGUAACUGACGCUGAGGCGCGAAAGCGUGGGGAGCAAACAGGAUUAGAUGCCCUGGUAGUCCACGCCGUAAACGAUGAAUACUAGGUGUAGGGGGUAUCGACUCCCUCUGUGCCGCAGUUAACACAAUAAGUAUUCCGCCUGGGGAGUACGGCCGCAAGGUUGAAACUCAAAUGAAUUGACGGGG
rnacentral:rRNA from 1 species